UACAGAGACUGCAAGCGUUAUUCGGAUUCACUGGGCGUAAAGGGUGCGCAGGCGCCAGGUGUGUUAGGCGUGAAAGCCCGGGGCUUAACCCCGGAAUUGCACCUAAAACUACUUGGCUAGAGCAUUGGAGAGGGUAGCGGAAUUCACGGUGUAGCAGUGAAAUGCGUAGAUAUCGUGAGGAACACCAGAGGCGAAGGCGGCUACCUGGACAAUUGCUGACGCUCAGGCACGAAAGCGUGGGGAGCAAAAGGG
rnacentral:rRNA from 1 species